rnacentral:ncRNA from 1 species
UUUGGGAUUGAAGUUGGUUUAUUUUUAGCUUUAUUCUUUUUUACUUUUAUAUUUCUAUAUGUAAAUUUUUGUGUGAAUUUUACUUUAUUUAAAUAGUUUUGUUAAAAUCUUAUUUGCAGUGGUUAUUUUUGAAUAUUAAGGUUACUUAGAUUCGGUAAAUAUAAUAAUAUUAGUAAAAAUUGUGCCAGCAACUGCGGUUAAACAAUUAAUAUGAAAAAAGAUUUUUAGUUUAUAAUUAAAAUAUUUUAUAAAUUUAUUUAAAUUAUUUAAAGGUGAAAUUUAAUUAAUUUUGUUUGUUUGUUUAAAUUUUUUGAGGUUAUUAAAUUUGUUUAUAAACUAGGAUUAGAUACCCUACUAUUAUAAUUUAAAAUUUUUACUUGGGGAGUAUUUGUUAAGAUCAUGAAAUUUAAGAAUUUUGGCGGUAUUUUAGUCUUUUUAGAGGAACCUGUCCAUUAAUUGAUAAUCCACGAUUAAUUUUACUUUGUUUAAUUAGCUUGUAUAUCGUCGUUAGAAGAAAAUUUUUAAAGAAUAUUAAUUUUCUUGUUUUUUAAUAAAAAUUUAUUUCAGAUCAAGAUGCAGUUUAUAACAGAGUUGAGAUGGGUUACUUUAAUUUUAUAAUUGGAAUUUUUUUUUAAUAUAGUUGAAUUGAAAUUGGAUUUAAUAGUAAUUUUUUAUUUUUUUUUAAAUAAGAUGAUUUUAGCUCUAAAAUAUGUACAUAUUGCCCGUCACUCUCAUUUUUAAGGUGAGAUAAGUCGUAACAUAGUAGGUGUACUGGAAAGUGUACCUGGAAUUA